rnacentral:rRNA from 1 species
UUGGUUAAGUUAGAAAGGGCGCACGGUGGAUGCCUUGGCACUAGGAGCCGAAGAAGGACGGGACUAACACCGAUAUGCUUUGGGGAGCUGUACGUAAGCGUUGAUCCAGAGAUUUCCGAAUGGGGGAACCCACUAUCUUUAGUCGGAUAGUAUCCUUACGUGAAUACAUAGCGUGAGGAAGGCAGACCCAGGGAACUGAAACAUCUAAGUACCUGGAGGAAGAGAAAGAAAAAUCGAUUUCCUGAGUAGCGGCGAGCGAAACGGAAAGAGCCCAAACCAAGAAGCUUGCUUCUUGGGGUUGUAGGACACUCUAUACGGAGUUACAAAAGAAAGUUAUAAAUGAAGCGGUCUGGAAAGGCCCGCCAAAGACGGUAACAGCCCGGUAGUUGAAAUAGCUUUCCCUCCAGAGUGGAUCCUGAGUACGGCGGAACACGUGAAAUUCCGUCGGAAUCCGGGAGGACCAUCUCCCAAGGCUAAAUACUCCCUAGUGACCGAUAGUGAACCAGUACCGUGAGGGAAAGGUGAAAAGCACCCCGGAAGGGGAGUGAAACAGUUCCUGAAACCGUGUGCCUACAAGUAGUUAGAGCCCGUUAAUGGGUGAUAGCGUGCCUUUUGUAGAAUGAACCGGCGAGUUACGAUUUGUUGCAAGGUUAAGCGGAAAAAGCGGAGCCGUAGCGAAAGCGAGUCUGAAUAGGGCGCAUAAGUAACAGGUCGUAGACCCGAAACCAGGUGAUCUACCCAUGUCCAGGAUGAAGGUAAGGUAAUACUUACUGGAGGUCCGAACCCACGCACGUUGAAAAGUGCGGGGAUGAGGUGUGGGUAGCGGAGAAAUUCCAAUCGAACUUGGAGAUAGCUGGUUCUCUCCGAAAUAGCUUUAGGGCUAGCCUCGAGGUAAAGAGUCAUGGAGGUAGAGCACUGUUUGGACUAGGGGCCCUUCUCGGGUUACCGAAUUCAGAUAAACUCCGAAUGCCAUGUACUUAUACUCGGGAGUCAGACUGCGAGUGAUAAGAUCCGUAGUCGAAAGGGAAACAGCCCAGACCACCAGUUAAGGUCCCCAAAUAUAUGUUAAGUGGAAAAGGAUGUGGGGUUGCUUAGACAACCAGGAUGUUGGCUUAGAAGCAGCCACCAUUGAAAGAGUGCGUAAUAGCUCACUGGUCGAGUGACCCCGCGCCGAAAAUGUACCGGGGCUAAACAUAUUACCGAAACUGUGGAUGAACCUCUUUAGAGGUUCGUGGUAGGAGAGCGUUCUAAGGGCGGUGAAGUCAGACCGGAAGGACUGGUGGAGCGCUUAGAAGUGAGAAUGCCGGUAUGAGUAGCGAAAGAAGGGUGAGAAUCCCUUCCACCGAAUAUCUAAGGUUUCCUGAGGAAGGCUCGUCCGCUCAGGGUUAGUCGGGACCUAAGCCGAGGCCGAUAGGCGUAGGCGAUGGACAACAGGUAGAGAUUCCUGUACCAGUGCUAAUUGUUUAACCGAUGGGGUGACACAGAAGGAUAGGGAAUCGCACGAAUGGAAAUGUGCGUCCAAGCAGUGAGUGUGAGAAGUAGGCAAAUCCGCUUCUCGCGAAGCAUGAGCUGUGAUGGGGAAGGAAAUUAAGUACGGAAGUUCCUGAUUUCACGCUGUCAAGAAAAGCCUCUAGGAAGAGU